AAGCCUCCGUUCUCCGUGUUCAAGGUCAUCGAUACGGGACCGAUCACCAAUCAUGUCAACAUUGUUCGCAAUCCCAAGGGCCAAUUCGCCUAUGUCACGAUUGGCGGCCUGAACGAAAUCAAGGUAUUCGACACCUCGGACUACAAGCAGGUUGCGACCAUCCCGGUCGGGUCGCUGCCACACGGCUUGUGGCCGGCGGGGGGUGGGAGCCGCCGCCAUGUUG
rnacentral:misc_RNA from 1 species